rnacentral:rRNA from 1 species
AUUGAACGCUGGCGGAAUGCUUUACACAUGCAAGUCGAACGGCAGCACGGACUUCGGUCUGGUGGCGAGUGGCGAACGGGUGAGUAAUGUAUCGGAACGUGCCCAGUCGUGGGGGAUAACGUAGGGAAAAUUACGCUAAUACCGCAUACGAUCUAUGGAUGAAAGCGGGGGAUCGCAAGACCUCGCGCGAUUGGAGCGGCCGAUAUCAGAUUAGGUAGUUGGUGGGGUAAAGGCCCACCAAGCCAACGAUCUGUAGCUGGUAUGAGAGGACGACCAGCCACACUGGAACUGAGACACGGUCCAGACUCCUACGGGAGACAGCAGUGGGGAAUUUUGGACAAUGGGCGAAAGCCUGAUCCAGCCAUUCCGCGUGCAGGAUGAAGGCCCUCGGGUUGUAAACUGCUUUUGUACAGAACGAAAAGGUUUCUACUAAUACUAGGAGCUCAUGACGGUACUGUAAGAAUAAGCACCGGCUAACUACGUGCCAGCAGCCGCCGUAA